rnacentral:rRNA from 1 species
AUGUCUAGCUCAACUUCGGCCUCCCGCCAAUCAUGGCCACAGUACGGUCCAGUGCCAUUGACAAGAUGCCCCGAUUGCCCGCGCAUGGAGCCUCUAAAGCGUUUGACUUGUGUGAAGGAGAAAAAUGGCAACCGUGGGCGCGAGUUCGUCAAAUGCUUGACCAAGCCACAACCGGGGCAGGUUCUGGAGUAA